rnacentral:rRNA from 1 species
GACGAAUGCUGGCUGCGUGUUUAACACAUGCAAGUCGAACGGUGAACAGGGGCUUGCCCCUGGGAACAGUCGCGAACGGGUGAGUAACACGUGGGCAACCUGCCACCCACCCUGGGAUCACUCCGGGAAACCGGGGCUACUACCAGCUACGCCCUGGUGCGGCACCCCACCGGGUGGAAAGAACUUCGGUGAGGGAUGGGCACGCGGCCUAUCAGCUUGGUGGUGGGGUAACGGCCCACCAAGCCGCCGACGGGUAGCCGGCCUGAGAGGGCGACCGGCCACACUGGGACUGAGACACGGCCCAGACUCCUACGGGAGGCAGCAGGGGGGAAUAUUGCGCAAUGGGCGAAAGCCUGACGCAGCGACGCAGCGUGAGGGACGAAGGCUUUCGGGUUGUAAACCUCUUUCAGCGGGGACGAAGCGAAAGUGACGGUACCCGCAGAAGAAGCACCGGCUAACUACGUGCCAGCAGCCGCCGUAA